AUCCCCCAGAGUGCUAUCCACCAACCCCCUUUCUGCAAGGGGGCGGGCCUAUCAGCCUCCCUUCCUUCUUCAUUCUCUGUCCUGGAACAUCCACUGCCUGCUCCGAAAAAAAAAGAAAAAAAGAAAAGAAAAGAAAAGAAAAGAAAAGAAAAGAAAAGAAAGAGAAUUUGUCUUACAAGCUCUCUGCUGCUCUUCAACACCGUGGAGGAAGUGACUGACCAGGAAAUAGUGAACAAGAAGAGCUGAAGGAGGGCCUGGCUUAGAUGACCACAGAGUAUCGUCCUUGAUAAGACUGCUGAAGUGAAAGGUUUGAUUUGGCUUCUAAGAGCAAGAAAUCUGAGGUUAAAAUAUUUUCCGGAAUUGUCAGAAGACCAGGCCUAGGCAUCUGAUGUUCUCCUUUCCCCGGUCCAGCAUACAGAUAGGAGGAGAAUAGAUUCUUGUAUGUCCUGUCUAUGUUGAUCCAUUAGAACUAGAGUUUCAAGAGGUUGUUAGGCACACUGUAGGUGCUGGGACUCCAACCUGGGGCCUCUGCAUGAGCAGCCAGUGCACAUAACCACUGCCCUGUGUGUCACCACACCCAUAUGAUCUUACUGAGGAUAAACGCAAAUGCCAGAUUAACUGGUGGGUUAUCUUCUGCCACAUUGAUUAAAUAUGUCCCUACAGCAUGGACCAAGUUUGCUUUGGUGGAUAUAAAUAGUAGACCCUGGUUUUCUCCUGGGAUUGCUCAGUAGGUGGCCCCUGACAACUGCCACUUCAUUUCCUUGGGAUUGUGUUCUGUGGGCUUUAUGACAGAGCUGGGCUCCCGCUUCUUACCAUGCUGCCUGGUGAAGAUUGACUCUGUGAUGUUACCCCAGCUCCAAGGAUGUCUCUGUGCAGUGGUAUGAUCUGUCCUUGGGUCAGUUGCCAUUCACUAUGCACAGUGAUGUGCAAGGCCCUUGCUAGGGGCUGGAUCCCAGGAUCACUGGUGUGGUGGACAAGCUGUGACCAAGGAGCUGACACUCGGGCAGGGUCCAGGGCACUCGGGAAGACAAAGGUGAUGAGGAGAUGGGAAAGUCAGAAGAUGAGGAGGCCAUCUUGAUAGGAGGACAAUGUUGGAAUCCCAGAAAAAAGAAGCCAUGUUCCUGCCUGGGGCUCCAUCAUUCUUCACAUAUAUAUGCAUGUUGAGUUUCUAAGCAGAUGCCUCCAGUUAUGAUUCUGACCUUAAGUAAACAGUGAAGGGUCACGAGGCUUUUCUGACAGGAACAACACAGGACGGAGCCAAAAUCCUGAUUCUGUGCACCGAAGUCCUUCCCUGUUUGUGGUUGCUGAGGACGGUCUGAGGAGAAAGACGGGACCUGCUGUGUCAGUGAAUGCCCAACCUCUGGAACUCUGUGAGUUGGAACUGUAGUUGCUGCUAAUGCUGCUGCCUCUGAGGCAAAAAUCUAGUUCAGCUUGUGAGAAGAUGAGCUUUCCAUCCCCU
ensembl:lncRNA